GAUGAACGCUGGCGGCGUGCCUAAUACAUGCAAGUCGAGCGAAUGGAUUAAGAGCUUGCUCUUAUGAAGUUAGCGGCGGACGGGUGAGUAACACGUGGGUAACCUGCCCAUAAGAAUGGGAUAACUCCGGGAAACCGGGGCUAAUACCGGAUAACAUUUUGAACCGCAUGGUUCGAAAUUGAAAGGCGGCUUCGGCUGUCACUUAUGGAUGGACCCGCGUCGCAUUAGCUAGUUGGUGAGGUAACGGCUCACCAAGGCUACGAUGCGUAGCCGACCUGAUAGGGUGAUCGGCCACACUGGGACUGAGACACGGCCCAGACUCCUACGGGAGGCAGCAGUACGGAAUCUUCCGCAAUGGACGAAAGUCUGACGGAGCAACGCCGCGUGAGUGAUGAAGGCUUUCGGGUCGUAAAACUCUGUUGUUAGGGAAGAACAAGUGCUAGUUGAAUAAGCUGGCACCUUGACGGUACCUAACCAGAAAGCCACGGCUAACUACGUGCCAGCCGCCGCAGUAA
rnacentral:rRNA from 1 species